rnacentral:rRNA from 1 species
GACCUCAAAUCGGGUGAGACUACCCGCUGAACUUAAGCAUAUCAAUAAGCCGGAG